UCCUGGCUCAGAUUGAACGCUGGCGGCAUGCUUUACACAUGCAAGUCGAACGGUAACAGGUCUUCGGAUGCUGACGAGUGGCGAACGGGUGAGUAAUACAUCGGAACGUGCCUAGUAGUGGGGGAUAACUACUCGAAAGAGUAGCUAAUACCGCAUGAGAUCUACGGAUGAAAGCAGGGGACCUUCGGGCCUUGUGCUACUAGAGCGGCUGAUGGCAGAUUAGGUAGUUGGUGGGGUAAAGGCUUACCAAGCCUGCGAUCUGUAGCUGGUCUGAGAGGACGACCAGCCACACUGGGACUGAGACACGGCCCAGACUCCUACGGGAGGCAGCAGUGGGGAAUUUUGGACAAUGGGCGAAAGCCUGAUCCAGCAAUGCCGCGUGCAGGAUGAAGGCCCUCGGGUUGUAAACUGCUUUUGUACGGAACGAAAAGCCUGGGGCUAAUAUCCCCGGGUCAUGAC
rnacentral:rRNA from 1 species